GAUGAACGCUGACAGAAUGCUUAACACAUGCAAGUCUUUGGCGAAGCUGUGCUUGCACAGCCUAGCCAAGGCGGACGGGUGAGUAACGCGUAAGGAACUUGCCCUGCAGUCAGGGAUAACAGACGGAAACGACUGAUAAGACCUGGUAAAGUCAGGCGGACUCAUGUCCAGCCUGAUGAAAAGAGAUGCUGCAGGAGAGCCUUGCGUCCUAUUAGCUUGUUGGUGGGGUAACGGCCCACCAAGGCGAUGAUAGGUAGCCGGCCUGAGAGGGUGGACGGCCACAAGGGGACUGAGAUACGGCCCUUACUCCUACGGGAGGCAGCAGUGGGGAAUAUUGGACAAUGGGGGCAACCCUGAUCCAGCAAUUCUGUGUGCACGAUGAAGGUUUUCGGAUUGUAAAGUGCUUUCAGCAGGGAAGAAAAAA
rnacentral:rRNA from 1 species